UAACGCCAAAGGUCAUCAUCCUCCUUUCUAAUUAAGAUUUACAUUUACGAUCUCAAACCCACCUCCCACUACUUAACAUUGAUUUCUCCGACUCUUUUCUUUUGCCAUAUUCUAAUUUGCUCCUAUAAAUAGGCAUCGAGAAAUUGGAUCACUCACCACCUCCUUCACCAGAAAUCAGAGAGGUCGGGUGUGGAGUCUAGGGUCAUCGUCACUAUAAACAUCAAUUUCAAAUUCGUACGAGCGGAUCUUGGGAUAUGUAACAUGAAUUUAUACCGCCCAGAAAAAAAAUUGACAUAAGAUGAGAAAGAGGUCUGAUCAGAGGUCAAGGAGAGGUAUGCUUGUGUCCUUUUCGCAUCCGUAUCGAGAUUUACCAACGUAAUGCCAUGAACAAGGUUCUGUUUCAAGUAUGAUUAAUUUUUAUUAUCUAUUUUUGAUUUAACAUGAAAGCUGUGACUGUAUUUGUUGAUAAGAUGUUAUCUAUUUUUGAUUUAACAUGAAAGCUGUGACUGUAUUUGUUGAUAAGAUGAUCUUAAAAAUUUGUUAAAUGGUUAAUCUAUUAAAAAACAGAAGUAAUCAGCAUUACAUAGAAUUUUUUGUACGUAUACUAGAAUAAGGGUGAGUGUUUCAAAAAAAAAAAAAAGUGUUUCAAAAAAAAAACUAGAAUAAGGGUGGAUACGAGGAAUAGGAUUGUAAAAUAUAUUAGCUUAAUUGCAGAACAUUUUUUUGAUGCUGCUUUAAAAUGAACAAAACAGAGAUUAUAGAAAAGUAUGUGUGCCAUCAUGAUCCAUGAGUUUUGUUUGGAUGAUGGUUUUGAUAUCUUGAUAAAUGGAAUUAGGAGAGCGAGAAAUGGACAUGGAGGAGGAUAAUCAUAGAUUUCUCUCUUUCCAAAAAUGAGAUGAAGGUUUGUAUGAUUGGCGCAAGGGAUAGCUUUUCUUCAGCCAAUCCAAUACUUUCUGAAAUAUUAAAACUGCUCAGAUGCAAUGGUAGAGGAGCGAGCACAUGUCGUGAGUCUCGUGACUGAAGGUGCAGCUGAUGAGAUCAUUUACUUUAGCUUGGAGUAUGAUUAUAUAUCCACUUCUGUCGUAACAUGUAUAUGUUUGUGGAAUGGAUCUGAAUUCUUUAAAAAUCUGACCAAGAUACUAACUUUUUUUUUUAGUUAAAACACGUGAAAGCUAAAGGUUAAUUAGUUUACUUCAGCAUUGUAAAUAAAAUUCAUAAAUUCCAUA